AUUGAACGCUGGCGGCAGGCCUAACACAUGCAAGUCGAGCGAGCGGCGGACGGGUGAGUAAUGUAUGGGGACUGCCCGAUAGAGGGGGAUAACUACUGGAAACGGUAGCUAAUACCGCAUACUAUCGGAUAACCCAUAUGGGAUUAGCUAGUAGGUGAGGUACUGGCUCACCUAGGCGACGAUCCCUAGCUGGUCUGAGAGGAUGAUCAGCCACACGGGGAAGGAGAAACGGCCCAGAAGCCAACGGAGGCAGCAGGGGGGAAUAUUGUACAAGGGGCGCAAGCCUGAUGCAGCCAUGCCGUGUGUAUGAAGAAGGCCCUAGGGUUGUAAAGUACUUUCAGUCGGGAGGCGUUACCGACAGAAGAAGCACCGGCUAACUCAGUGCCAGCAGCCGCGGUAAUUC
rnacentral:rRNA from 1 species